GUCCCCCCUGUCCCCUCACUGUCCCCCCUCUGUCCCCAGUGUCCCCCUAUGUCGGUGUCCCCGGGUGACAUCGUGGCGGCCCCGUACCCCGGGGACGGGCAGUGGUACCGCGCCCGCGUUCUGGCCCUGCUGGACAACGGCCACUGGGACCUGUACUACGUGGACUUUGGGGACAACGGGGAGGCCCCUCAGGAGGCCCUGCGCACCCUCAGGGGUGAUUUCCUGAGCCUGCCCUUCCAGGCCAUCGAGUGCAGCCUGGCCGGGAUCCGACCCUCAGGGAAUGAGUGGGAGGAGUCCGCCCUGGACGCGUUUGAGGGUCUGACGGGCUGUGCCCAGUGGAGGCCGUUGGAGGCCGAACUCUGCAGCUUCUGCCCGGCCACGCCCUGCCCCCGGCCCAGCCUGCGCCUCUUCGCCCCACAGCACGGACAGCGCCUGGACGUGGGGGCGGAGCUGAUCCGGUUGGGAUUCGCCGUCCCGGUGCCCCCCGAGGAGGAUUCGGGGCCAGGAUCCUGCAGCCCCCCCACGCAGGACACCCCGGACAGUGUCACCUCCACCGCCAGCCUCGUGUCCGACCCCCCCCGGAGCGCGGGGGACACCCCGGACACCUCAUCCUGCCGCAGCCUGCCCGAUGCCACCAGCCCCGUGCCCAGGGACGCCGUCACUGUCACCUGAGGGUGUGUCCAGGGACCCGGAGCUGCUCCCGGUGACACCGUCACUGUCACCUGGAGCAUCUCCCUGUGACCCUGUCACUGUCACCUGGAGCAUCUCCCUGUCACUGUCACCUGGAGCUGUCCCUGGUGACACCGUCACUGUCACCUGGAGCAUCUCCCUGGGACCCUGUUACUGUCACCUGGAGCUGCCCCCGGUGACACCGUCAUUGUCACCUGGAAGUGCCCUCGGUGACCCCGUCACUGUCACCUGGAGCUGCUCCCUGUGACCCUGUCACUGUCACCUGGAGCUGCCCAUGGUGACACCGUCACUGUCACCUGGAGCAUCUUCCUGUGACCCUGUCACUGUCACCUGGAGCUGCUCCUGAUGCCACCAUCAUUGUCACCAUCCCGGUGACCUGGAGCUGUCCCCGGUGCCACCGUCACUGUCACCUGGAGCUGCCCCCAUGCCGCUGUCAUUGUCACCUGGGGCUGCUCCCGGUGCCAUCAUUGUCACCUGGAACUGCCCCCAGUACCACCAUCGUUGUCACCUGGAGCUGCCCCUGGUGACACCGUCACUGUCACCCGGAGCUGCUCCUGAUGCCACCAUCAUUGUCACCUGGAGCAGCUCCCUGUAACCCUGUCACUGUCACCUGGAGCCGCUCCCGAUGCCACCAUCACUGUCACCCGGUGCCACCGCCCCCCCGGACGGUCCCCCCGCCACCCCCGGGGCCUCCGGAGGGGUCUCCACUCGUGCCUGCCGUGGGGACAUCCCCC